UGGGGAAUAUUGCACAAUGGGCGCAAGCCUGAUGCAGCCAUGCCGCGUGUAUGAAGAAGGCCUUCGGGUUGUAAAGUACUUUCAGCGAGGAGGAAGGCAUUGUGGUUAAUAACCGCAGUGAUUGACGUUACUCGCAGAAGAAGCACCGGCUAACUCCGUGCCAGCAGCCGCGGUAAUACGGAGGGUGCAAGCGUUAAUCGGAAUUACUGGGCGUAAAGCGCACGCAGGCGGUCUGUCAAGUCGGAUGUGAAAUCCCCGGGCUCAACCUGGGAACUGCAUUCGAAACUGGCAGGCUAGAGUCUUGUAGAGGGGGGUAGAAUUCCAGGUGUAGCGGUGAAAUGCGUAGAGAUCUGGAGGAAUACCGGUGGCGAAGGCGGCCCCC
rnacentral:rRNA from 1 species